UACAGAGGGGGCAAGCGUUGUUCGGAAUUACUGGGCGUAAAGGGCGCGUAGGCGGCCUUCUAAGUCGAACGUGAAAUCCCCGGGCUCAACCCGGGAACUGCGUCCGAUACUGGAAGGCUUGAAUCCGGGAGAGGGAUGCGGAAUUCCAGGUGUAGCGAUGAAAUGCGUAGAUAUCUGGAGGAACACCGGUGGCGAAGGCGGCAUCCUGGACCGGUAUUGACGCUGAGGCGCGAAAGCCAGGGGAGCAAACGGG
rnacentral:rRNA from 1 species